CAGAUGCUUUGCUGAUAUUCCUUCAGUGUAUUUACUUCUAACAGCCUUGGGAGAUGGGGAAACUGAAGCCCAAGGUGGUUAAAUAAUGUGCCCAAGGGCCUUUCAUAAGGAUGGUGUGGAUUUAAACAGAGCUCCACCUAUGUGCAAAGCCCAUGUUGCUCAUCACUAUUUUUUUCAGGGAAAAGCAACAAGAAUGCAAUUUGGGAAAAUAAUGAAAGUCAACUUCGUCACACUCCAGUGCCUCCCUCUGUGAUGUUACC